GGCAUAUACUAUCAGGUUAGUUUGGAAUUUGAAUGUAUUGUCGGGUAUGGAUGGUGUAGGUAUCUAGUGUGGAGAGGUAAAUAAUGGUAUAUAAGUUAAAGAAAGGGCUUCACUAUGAUAUCUUUGCCUUUUGAAUUGAUUUCUAAGAUGGAGAUAGGCAGAUAGCUGCUUUUAAUUUCUAAUUGAAUAUAAGAUCAUGUAUAUUGGUUGUGUUAUUUGCUAAAUUGCCGUUGCCAGACCAAGUGGCCCUAUGCUCUCUUCUC
rnacentral:lncRNA from 1 species